GUGAAUCAUCAAAUUUUUGAACGCAAAUUGCACUCUCUUCGGAGAGUAUGCCUGUUUGAGGGUCAGCCUAAAAAAAAAUCGACAUAGUCGGUGUUUCGCGGUGAUAUUCGUCGGAAAUUGGGUUAUUUUAAACUUUUGGGUUUUAAGAGGCUUAAAAUUUUUUUUAAGAUUAUACGAACGUUUAUAAGAUAUACUUUUUAUAGGUUUAAGGUAUCGAUCUUUAUUAGACGUGGCCGUUGAAUCGGAUCUCGUCAAUAAAUAUUUUGUUAACUGACCUGAGACAGGUAAGAACACCCGGUGA
rnacentral:misc_RNA from 1 species